CACGUAGGCACCAAGCGUUGUCCGGAUUUAUUGGGCGUAAAGAGCUCGUAGGCGGUUCAGUAAGUCGGGUGGGAAAACUCUGGGCUCAACCCAGAGACGCCACCCGAUACUGCUGUGACUUGAGUACGGUAGGGGAGUGGGGAAUUCCUGGUGUAGCGGUGAAAUGCGCAGAUAUCAGGAGGAACACCAGUGGCGAAGGCGCCACUCUGGGCCGUAACUGACGCUGAGGAGCGAAAGCGUGGGUAGCAAACAGG
rnacentral:rRNA from 1 species